UACGGGGGGGGCAAGCGUUGUUCGGAAUUACUGGGCGUAAAGGGCUUGUAGGUGGCCAACUAAGUCAGACGUGAAAUCCCUCGGCUUAACCGGGGAACUGCGUCUGAUACUGGAUGGCUAGAGUGUGGGAGAGGGAUGCGGAAUUCCAGGUGUAGCGGUGAAAUGCGUAGAUAUCUGGAGGAACACCGGUGGCGAAGGCGGCAUCCUGGACCAACACUGACACUGAAAAGCGAAAGCCAGGGGAGCAAACGGG
rnacentral:rRNA from 1 species